AAACGACACGGAGGUGUAGAAUCUUUGUAACUUUGUAACGUCGAGACUUUGGCCUGUGAGUUGUUCUGUCUUGGCAAAAGGAGAAGCAGGGGCUGCGAUCUCUGGGAGGUAACAUAACUCUAGACGUGAGGACUUCCAGGUGAUACAAGAGGGAUGUGUGUAUCUACUGAGGCAACAGAUGAAUAUAUCAAGGAUCAACUUGAAACAGAAAUCUCUGGAGUUAAAGCAAUGGUGAAAUAAUCCAAGAAAUAUAAAAUGAAAAAUAUUCAUAAUUAUUCUAAAAAAGCCAUCAGUAUUUAUGGAGAACUGCUUUAGAAUAUGAUACUGUAAACAGUUGAUAAACUUUACAGGCGACACAAAUCAUCAUUAAGUCUAUCAAAAUCUCAGGGGUCUUAAAUGCAAUUAUGACAAUGCUUGUUCUAUUUAGUUAUUUAAUUAUGGUAAUAAUUAAGAAAGGGCAUAUUUAGGCUCACUGUAUAAUUCCAACAUUUUAACAAUCAAAUAAAUCAUAUAGAAUCUAAUGGCUGGGAUUUGUCAGUCAGACAUCUGCCUCUACAAGCAAUUCUUUAUUUCCCCCUCAAAAAUGCACUUAAGUUUUUCCAGAGCAUACUGGGGAUCGAAGGAACAGAAUGAUCAGAAAUCCUGUUAAGUGAGCAUAGUACAAACCAAUAUUGACCCAAAUUCCCAUCAAUACUACUGGCUCGUUAGUACAGGUAGUAGUAUAGUUCUUCAGCUGCAAUAAUUUACACAAGAGUUGUUCAAAUUGUGUUCAAAGGAUACUAGGGUUGAGCAAGAACUUGCUGGGAUUCUGUGAAUCUCCUGUCCCAAUUUUCAAUCACAGCAGAAAAAGUAGGGCUGAUAUUCAGAUGACCCCCUUCCCCAUCUCUGUUUGUACCAACGAGAACUCAUUACUUUUGUGUGUAUUUAAAAGGCAGGCAGUAUGCGCUCUAGGGAAUUCUUGAUGUUAGAACAUAGUUUGUAAUGUAAUCUGACCAGGUGGAAAAUCUGGGCUGAUUGGGAAAAGAUGCUCUUCAACAGAAAGAAAUGGAAGGUAUUAUAUUUAGGAAGAGAAAUAUAUGUCAUUUGGAUAUGCCCACUGACAAGCUCAAUAUGAGCCAACAGUUGAGAUAGCUGCUAGAAGAGCUAGUGCAAUUCUGGGUUGUUUUAGAAGCAGCACCAUAACAAAGAUUCAUGAAGUCCUUAUAUCCACAUACCUAAAAUAUUUUAUGUAGCUGUCCAUCAACAAAGGGUUAGAAUUCUCCAUUUUGGAGCAUUUUAAGAGGUGGCUGGACAGCCAUGUUUUAAGAAUAGUAUAAUCUCCCUGAUACUGGGAGCACUUCACUAGAUAAUUGUGUUCCCUCCCAACUGCACAAUUCUAUGAGUCUGUAUCAUUUUGCUGCCAUCUUCUGAUUAUCUGGAUUUCUUCAGGAUAGAUGUGAUAUUCUCAGUGCUUGAUUUUCACAGAAACCAUUCUUGCUAUUCAAUGCUAUUUUUUAAAAUCAUAAAAUAUCAGACAUAUUAUUUUCAUAUGUAGUUUGUUGGCUGAAGUACUUAUUUGUUUAUUCCUUUAUAUGGCUGCUCACUCAACAUACAACUCAACAGUACUGUUUAUGUAUGAAGAUUAUUUGAACUAUCCUAUAAUAUCAAUGGAACAUAGCUAACUUUACAAAUACAGGUUUAUAAGUAAGAUGGAAAUUGGUAAAUUCCUAAGCAAUUAUAAUUAUGUACUUCAUAAAAUAAAACAUGAAUAUACCAUU